UUUUGUUCCGAAACGCCAAGUUAAAAGGUACUCCAAAUUCGUUACGGAAUUACGGUGUCGAUCUACAUUUUCAGCAUUGAAAUUUAAUGGCAAUCUGGAAUAAAAUUUCCACUUGGUCAAAUAAUCGAUCACGUGGACUGAAAUUGCUUUCCAUUUUGGCAAAAUGUCGUCCGUUGUUAGCUGUUAAGCUGUACCUGUUCGGAUGUACGUCUCAUCUCACGCAGAAACACAAAAGAGUUGGUGUUCAGGUUGGAGAUCCCGUUGCUUAACUGUUGCAGAAUGUGACAACUCAACAAAUUCUGAGCUCCAUGGCUGGCAUCUUGGCCACAGUGGUUUUGUUGCAGCCAGCUGAUGAAAGGUGUGAUUGAGUCAAGUUUAGCUGCAGCUGCUGCAUGCAGUUUUUCGAGCUGGUGUUAUCCUGAAGUGUCAUUGCAGGAAGACUUUUUGAAAUGGACUUGGUGAUACUUAAACUAUGCCUGUACAGUUCAAUGUGCAGUGGUUUUUCCGCCUGUUUCCAGUUGAGAGAUGUGAUUAUGCAGCUGAUACAGGAUUGAAGAAAAAGAACUGAAGAAGCUGUGCUGGUGUUCUCCUGAAAUUGCUGUGCCACAGGAGUUGCAGAUGAUGAAGUUUAUGUAAAGAGACU